rnacentral:rRNA from 1 species
GACGAACGCUGGCGGCGUGCUUAACACAUGCAAGUCGAACGCUGAAGCUCAGCUUUUGUUGGGUGGAUGAGUGGCGAACGGGUGAGUAACACGUGAGUAACCUGCCCCCUUCUUUGGGAUAACGCCCGGAAACGGGUGCUAAUACUGGAUAUUCACUGUUCUUCGCAUGGGGGUUGGUGGAAAGGGUUUUUCUGGUGGGGGAUGUGCUCGCGGCCUAUCAGCUUGUUGGUGGGGUGAUGGCCUACCAAGGCUUUGACGGGUAGCCGGCCUGAGAGGGUGACCGGUCACAUUGGGACUGAGAUACGGCCCAGACUCCUACGGGAGGCAGCAGUGGGGAAGAUUGCACAAUGGGCGCAAGCCUGAUGCAGCGACGCCGCGUGAGGGAUGGAGGCCUUCGGGUUGUGAACCUCUUUCGCUCAUGGUCAAGCCGCAACAAUGGUUGUGGUGAGGGUAGUGGGUAAAGAAGCGCCGGCUAACUACGUG